rnacentral:rRNA from 1 species
CCUACGGGUGGCAGCAGUGAGGAAUAUUGGUCAAUGGCCGGAAGGCUGAACCAGCCAUGCCGCGUGAAGGUCAGUGCCCUAUGGGCGUUAAACUUCUUUUGUGCGGGAGCAAUAAUGGUCACGUGUGGCCAGACGAGAGUUCCGUACGAAUAAGCAUCGGCUAACUCCGUUCCAGCCGCCGCGGUAAUACGGGGGAUGCAAGCGUUUUCCGGAUUUAUUGGGUUUAAAGGGUGCGUUGGCUGGGAGGUAAGUCAGCGGGGGAAAGCCCCCGCUCAACGGGGUGAAGUGCCAUUGAUACGGCCUUGCUGGAAUGCGGAUGCGGUAGGAGGAAUGUGUGGUGUAGCGGUGAAAUGCAUAGAUAUCACACAGAACACCGAUUGCGAAGGCAGCUCACGAAUCCGCGAUUGACGCUGAUGCACGAAAGCGUGGGUAUCAAACAGGAUUAGAUACCCUGGUAGUC